AGUUUGAUCCUGGCUCAGGAUGAACGCUGGCGGCGUGCCUAACACAUGCAAGUCGAACGAAGCGCCUUAAGAGAUUCUUCGGAUGAUCUUUUGGUGACUGAGUGGCGACGGGUGAGUAACGCGUGAGCAACCUGCCUUUCAGAGGGGGAUAACGUCUUGAAAAGGACGCUAAUACCGCAUGAUAUUAUGGAGCCACAUGGCUCUAUAAUCAAAAGGAGCAAUCCGCUGAAAGAUGGGCUCGCGUCCGAUUAGGUAGUUGGCGGGAUAACAGCCCACCAAGCCGACGAUCGGUAGCCGGACUGAGAGGUUGAACGGCCACAUUGGGACUGAGACACGGCCCAGACUCCUACGGGAGGCAGCAGUGAGGGAUAUUGGUCAAUGGGGGAAACCCUGAACCAGCAACGCCGCGUGAGGGAUGACGGCCUUCGGGUUGUAAACCUCUGUCCUCUGUGAAGAUAAUGACGGUAGCAGAGGAGGAAGCUCCGGCUAACUACGUGCCAGCAGCCGCGGUAA
rnacentral:rRNA from 1 species